rnacentral:rRNA from 1 species
CUUUCUUUGCUGGCGACCGGCGCACGGGUGAGUAACACGUAUCCAACCUGCCCUUUACUCGGGGAUAGCCUUUCGAAAGAAAGAUUAAUACCCGAUAGUAUAAUGAUUCCGCAUGGUUUCAUUAUUAAAGGAUUCCGGUAAAGGAUGGGGAUGCGUUCCAUUAGGCUGUUGGUGAGGUAACGGCUCACCAAGCCUUCGAUGGAUAGGGGUUCUGAGAGGAAGGUCCCCCACAUUGGAACUGAGACACGGUCCAA